rnacentral:rRNA from 1 species
GACGAACGCUGGCGGCGUGCUUAACACAUGCCAGUCGAACGGAAAGGCCUUUUCGGAGGUACUCGAGUGGCGAACGGGUGAGUAACACGUGGGUGAUCUGCCCUGCACUCUGGGAUAAGCCUGGGAAACUGGGUCUAAUACCGGAUAGGACCGCACUUUAGUGUGUGUGGUGGAAAGUUUUUUCGGUGUAGGAUGAGCCCGCGGCCUAUCAGCUUGUUGGUGGGGUAAUGGCCUACCAAGGCGGCGACGGGUAGCCGGACUGAGAGGUUGGUCGGCCACAUUGGGACUGAGAUACGGCCCAGACUCCUACGGGAGGCAGCAGUGGGGAAUAUUGCACAAUGGGCGCAAGCCUGAUGCAUCGACGCCGCGUGGGGGAUGACGGCCUUCGGGUUGUAAACUCCUUUCGCCAGGGACGAAGCGUUUUGUGACGGUACCUGGAGAAGAAGCACCGGCUAACUACGUG